rnacentral:rRNA from 1 species
CUACGGAGGAUCCAAGCGUUAUCCGGAAUCAUUGGGUUUAAAGGGUUCGUAGGCGGGUUUAUAAGUCAGUGGUGAAAGUUUGCGGCUCAACCGUAAAAUUGCCAUUGAUACUGUAGAUCUUGAAUUAGUGUGAAGUGAUUAGAAUAAGUAGUGUAGCGGUGAAAUGCAUAGAUAUUCCUUAGAAUACCAAUUGCGAAGGCAGGUCACUAACACUAUAUUGACGCUGAGGGACGAAAGCGUGGGGAGCGAACAGGAUUAGAAACCCCUGUAGUCC